AUUGAACGCUGGCGGCAUGCCUUACACAUGCAAGUCGAACGGUAACGGGCCUUCGGGUGCCGACGAGUGGCGAACGGGUGCGUAAUACAUCGGAACGUGCCCGAUCGUGGGGGAUAACGAGGCGAAAGCUUUGCUAAUACCGCAUACGAUCUACGGAUGAAAGCAGGGGACCGCAAGGCCUUGCGCGGACGGAGCGGCCGAUGGCAGAUUAGGUAGUUGGUGGGAUAACAGCUUACCAAGCCGACGAUCUGUAGCUGGUCUGAGAGGAUGAUCAGCCACACUGGGACUGAGACACGGCCCAGACUCCUACGGGAGGCAGCAGUGGGGAAUUUUGGACAAUGGGCGCAAGCCUGAUCCAGCCAUGCCGCGUGCAGGAUGAAGGCCUUCGGGUUGUAAACUGCUUUUGUACGGAACGAAAAGCCUUCUUUUAAUACAGGAGGGUCAUGACGGUACCGUAAGAAUAAGCACCGGCUAACUACGUG
rnacentral:rRNA from 1 species